AUGGAAAUGCUGUUACUCCAGCUGAUUAGCGACAUAGGCUGCCGGCUGCGGGGAUGGGAUGGGAGUCCUGGGGCAGGGGUGGAGAAGGCAUCUGGAAGGCAAAGCCGUUGGAGAAGGCAUCAUCUGGAAGGCAAAGCUGUUGAAGGAGGCAUCUGGAAGGCAGAGCCAUUGGAGAAGGGAUCAUCUGGAAGGCAAAUCCAUUGGAGAAGGGAUCAUCUGGAAGGCAAAGCCAUUGGAGGAGACAUCUGGAAGGCAAAGCCAUUGGAGAAGGGAUCAUCUGGAAGGCAAAGCUGUUGGAGAAGGGAUCAUCUGGAAGGCAAAGCUGUUGAAGGAGGCAUCUGGAAGGCAGAGCCAUUGGAGAAGGGAUCAUCUAGAAGGCAAAGCCAUUGGAGGAGACAUC
rnacentral:lncRNA from 1 species